GUUCCACUUGUCAGCUGCCCAGCUACUGCACUGCCAUAUCACACCAAGCUGUAUUAACAGCUAGAAAUUUCUGCUAGAUGUAUAAUUGAUCAGGUCAUUCAAAUUGGCAAAGAUACAUCCUUCAUGUGGCAAAAGGCGUUAUAUUUUAUUUUGGCUUCCCUUAUGGAAAGGAGGAGAGGAAAAAGAAAUUUCCCCAAGUCUUUUCACACUUCUAGAGAGUUCUCUUACCUCUUAAAUUUUGUUCACGAAAAUCAUCAAGAUAAUGCCUUACGAAAUCCAAUGAUCUUCCAGAAGUGGGACUUCCUUACUCAGCGAAUGAAUAGAGGCCAUUGUUCUUUUUGAAUAACUGUACUUUCAGAGAUUGUGUCAAGUAUGUUGAUAUCAGGGUUUUGUGUGUUAUGCAAGAAUUAAGUGAUGAUGAACAGUUACAACUGGAACAUCAACAGACUCUAAAAUGUGAACUUGGUCAGACUACUUGGCUCAACAUGAAUGUUGACACAAAGAAUAAAAUAAAAUAUCCUUCAGGAAAAUAGAGAAAAAUUGCACUGAAGACUGAAAUUUCUGGAAAUGUGGCAGACUGACUGAAAAGUUUUGAGACAUCCUUUUAAGUGCUGUGCGGGCCAAUGACAAAGGAUGCUAUCAGAAAUUGGCUUUAUUUUUGAUUUCUAAUUCAAAGACCACUGAAGUAAUUCUCAGGUCAACUGUUUCCAGGAGGAAGAGGAAAAUUAUGAAAUACAGUCAGGGAAUUCUGAACACCACAUGGAAAGAAGGCGCUGAAAAUGUAAUAAAAGGCAGAGAUUGGGAUCCAGGACAAAAUUUUGUCAGAGACUACUGCAGGACCAGAACAACCCCCUGAUAAAAUAAUUAGAGGUUGGCUCGUUGGUCAUGUUCAGAUGGAAGGUGUAGAAAGCAGAUUAUCUUCUCACAUCCAUAAGAUGACAGAGAAUCAAAACCAUUUCAGUGUAAAAAAUUCAAGUGCAUAACAAAAAGUAUAUUGUGCUGUCACGUUUGUCACAGCACAUACAAACCAGAACAGUGGUCAGCCUCUGUAAGAAAGCACACACUGCUUUGUAAGUGCCAGAAGAACAUUCAAUGGAUUGGCAGAUAGGGUCACAAGAGCACAAUUAGUGUAGGAAGCAUGACAAGAUCCCAAGUCAGGCAAGAUUUUUCUGCACUCAUGUUUAAAGAAAACAUGCAAAAAAGAAAAGGAAAAAAAAAAAGAGAAAAAAACUCAUCUUUUUUAACAUAAUAUCUGGAACAAGGUAAUGUAUGAGACAGAUCAAACUCAAAAUAAAGCAGUUGAAAAUAGAAGUACCUGAAAAUAACCUUAGCGACAAAUGUGAAAAUUUCAAGAUGAAUAUAAACAUAUAGGAUCUCUGAUGCCUGAUGAAACACUGUUCCAGUUGUAUGGAAAAAAGGCACUGGUGCAAAGAGUGAGGAACUGUACACAAAAAAUAGAAACCUGCCCAGGCUCCAACAGAGUAUGAGCAGCAAUUACUGGACCUCCUGUGAAGGAUAAGACCCAGUGAAGUGGAUUGACUUUGCUAGCAUAACAUGGUCAUUAGAGGACAAUAUUAGUCUGCAGCAAUCCUUGAUGAAAUUUUUGGUAUUAAUGGUAAUAAUUCUAAGAAAAAUGUUUUAGUUGACAUCUAAAGGUCAUUUAAGGAUUGGAAUAAAUAAUAGAUGGCUGAUGGUGGCCUCAAAUAAACAGAAAACAUCAAGGAAAUUAUUAAGACUUUUGCUCAUGCCAAAGAUUAUAUAAAAUAAAAUAAUAAAAAAAUCUCAAAGGAGACCAUGUGAGU